GUCCGCAUGGCGCAAUGGAUAGCGCACUUGACUUCUAAUCAAGGGGUUGCGGGUUCGAGUCCCGCUGCGGAUG